rnacentral:rRNA from 1 species
ACAGCAGUCGCCGCGGGAAUACGUAGGGUGCAAGCGUUAAUCGGAAUUACUGGGCGUAAAGCGUGCGCAGGCGGUUAUAUAAGUCAGAUGUGAAAUCCCCGGGCUCAACCUGGGAACUGCAUUUGAGACUGUAUAACUAGAGUACGGUAGAGGGGGAUGGAAUUCCGCGUGUAGCAGUGAAAUGCGUAGAUAUGCGGAGGAACACCGAUGGCGAAGGCAAUCCCCUGGACCUGUACUGACGCUCAUGCACGAAAGCGUGGGGAGCAAACAGGAUUAGAUACCCCAGUAGUCCCUGUCUCUUAUAC